GCGCACAGUACCGCAUGGUACAGUGUGAAAAACUCCGGUGGUACAGGAUGGACCCGCGUCUGAUUAGCUAGUUGGUGAGGUAACGGCCCACCAAGGCGACGAUCAGUAGCCGGCCUGAGAGGGUNAACGGCCACAUUGGGACUGAGACACGGCCCAAACUCCUACGGGAGGCAGCAGUGGGGAAUAUUGGCACAAUGGGGGAAACCCUGAUGCAGCGACGCCGCGUGAGUGAAGAAGUAUUUCGGUAUGUAAAGCUCUAUCAGCAGGGAAGAAAGUGACGGUACCUGAAUAAGAAGCCCCGGCUAACUACGUG
rnacentral:rRNA from 1 species